rnacentral:rRNA from 1 species
CGGAACGUGUCCUGUUGUGGGGGGAGUAACUGAUCGAAAGAUCAGCUAAUACCGCAUGAGACCUGAGGGUGGAAAGCGGGGGAGUCGCAAGACCUCGCGCGACAGGAGCGGCCGAUGUCUGAUUAGCUAGUUGGUGAGAUAAAAGCUUACCAAGGCGACGAUCAGUAGCUGGUCUGAGAGGAUGAUCAGCCACAUUGGGACUGAGACACGGCCCAGACUCCUACGGGAGGCAGCAUG